GCUGGGUGUGGUGGCGCACACCUGUAAUCCACGUUACUGGGAGGCUGAGGCUGGUGGAGUGCUUGAGUUCAGGGCUUCUGGGCUGCAGUGGUCUGUGCUGAUCAGGUGUCCACACUAAGAUCAGUAUCAACAUGGUGGUUCUGAGGGAGCUUGGGACGAGCAGGUUGUCUGAGGAGGGGUGAACUGACCCAGGCUGGAAACAGGAGCAGGUAAAAACCCCCAUACUGAUCAGUAGUGGGAUUACACUGUGAGCAGAUGCUGUAGAUCAGCCUGAGUGAUACAGUGUGACCCAGCCUUUU
rfam:Astyanax mexicanus chromosome 5, whole genome shotgun sequence.